AGAAACGCUAAGUGAGCAGCCACAUUUGUUAAGCGUCGAGGAGCUCAGCCAUCAUCUCGCCGAGAGUUACCUCACCUCCAUCCUUUACAUCCAAGAGAUGCUUCAGUAUAAACGGCAAAACCACGGCAAGUUCUGCAUCAUGAUGUGUUCAGGAUGUGUCAUGCUGGCUGUGGUUGGACAUUACGUUCCCGGGAUUAUGAUCUCCUACAUCAUAUCGCAUUUUAUGGAGGACUGUUUCCUGAACCCAAGAGAGUUGUUUCUACAAAGUGGGGCAAUUCUAACUUUGCAAGGACAGUCUGGUACUUCUCACAGCCUGUAAGUACGUUUUCAUAUUUAAAGAAUUUGCCACUGACAAAUGACAAUUCAAACGCAAGUUUUGAGCAGUGUAGUGUAGCGCUUGUUGUUUGUCUUUUCUCCGAUCACAAAUGCAGACAUGGUUUUAUGUUUACGCAGCGCAAUAUGCAACACAACGCGUAAAAAGACAAUAUAAGUCAUUAUAAUCAGUAAUUAUGUCCCCACCGGAUGCAACAAAUGCCUCGUUUGUAAUGGGUUUUAUUGGUUUUGUCUUGUCUUGCUGGUGUUCUGAAUGGGACACGCAUCACAGUAUGGCAAUGGGCGUAACAUUUCCGUUACAUGCUUGAGGCAUUCAGCCAAUCACAAUGCAUUGGAUAGCUGGCCAGUCAGCGUACACCUCGCUUUUCAGAAUGAUGAGCUUUGUAAAAAUCGAUGUGUUUCAGAAAGGCAGGGCAUAGAGGAGCAACAAUAAUGUACAUUAUGUAGAAAAAGAAAAAAAAAAACUUUUUUUAACCUUAAAAGAGACAGGUCAUAUGGUAUUUAAAGUGUCCUAAUAUUGUGUUGGAGUUGUUGGAGUCCCCUACAAAAGGUUUAAAGGAAUCUAAGGUCAGAAACAUUGUAAUUUUCUCAAAAUAUACAUUUAAUAUUAGAGUCAUUUACCAAUGAUUUCAAAACGAUUCGUUCCAAGCAAGUUCAGAGCAAAACCCUCCAUUCCAUAAGCCUACUCUGCUCUGAUUGGUCAGCUGGACAAGCCUGUUGUGAUUGGCACAGAGAGGAGGCCCUGAGACAGUUAGCGAGUGCUACCAUUGACAAAGCACCUUUACAUAAAACAGUAAUAUAGUGCUCCAAUCCGUUCUUAUAAUAAUGACAUAAAAUACAAAAACACUUAUGCAAGCGAAUCGUGCCCACAGCUAAAGUUUAGCUGUUAAACUGUGAACACUUGGCCGAGUGCUAACGUGACUAACUGAUGAAACAAUACAGUUUGUAAACAAAAAAUGUCUACUGUAAUGUUUGAAGAAUGACAGACAAAAGACGCUCUGUCGUAACUUUUGUCUCUCCCACAUUAACCAUAUAACGGCCCGUGCAGCACAAUAAACAGCAAUUUCAUAAUGAUUAUAAAGUCUGUGCGCUACAUUACAUUCUUUAAUUAUUAAACAAAGUAAUUAGAACAACAUCAGUAUACAAUAAUCAACACAUUCUUAGGAAAUAGUAGGUUCACAGCGAAUUAUCAGAACUACUUCAGUAAGACAAUAAUAUUGUGCUUUACCUGGAAACCUAAAGCUGCUCUAGGUAUACAUCACAUAUUAGCACAAAAACCUUUUUUGAGCACUCAAUUGAAAAUGUACACAACGUAUCAAUCAUACUACUUACAGUUUGUGGUUCGAUGAGCUUUUUAGUCCAAAUUAAGAAGACUAGAAGCCAACGAAGAUAAAGGCCAAGAUUAGAGAAUCAGUCCUUGGUAAAAUGACAUGCACACAACAAAAGGCUUGAAUUGUAUUUCUGUGGUAUCCUUGAACACAGCGUCUUCUCAGCAUCAUUUAAACACACUAUCUAGCGGAAGUGUAUGUGGGCAGGUCAGACUCUGUUCAUAUUUUGCGGGCAGGUGGGGAUUAUGCAAAUGUGUUACCCAGUAACGUAUACCCAUAACAGGCAAAAGAUUCGGAAAUAUAACGACUUAAGGCGAUUCAGAACCGUCUCUCUCUUUUGAGAGACAAUAUAUUUAUUUAUCAUCCACUUUUUCGAUUAACAACAGAUUGUUUUCAUUUAAGGAUAGCUACAUUAUAAACUGCAAAAGAGAUAUUUUUCAAAAACCCAUAUGACCUGCUCUUUAAACUGCAUAAACAUUUUGCAUUACACAAAAUACACAACAUAAUGUUCUUUUUAGCAACGU
rnacentral:lncRNA from 1 species